rnacentral:misc_RNA from 1 species
ACUUGACAAUUUCAUAAUAUGAGAGAACUAACAAUUGUUCUUCCAUUUACUUAAACAAAUGGCGGGAAAGAAAAAUUAAAGACAAAAAAAGGGGUAACGACUACAACCAUUGCUGUUAUUACAAAUUGGUCUUUGCACCUGUAGUUCCUUAUGCAAGUAAAAAGGAUAAUAUCAGAGCAGAACUGAAGAGUAACAUAUAAAGGUCCCCAAAAAAUUGAAGAAAAACUAUAGGAAAAUUUGUAUUUGGGGAAAUUCACCCUAAGAGUUACUAUUGAAAAUGAGCAUGACAUUUUCUUGGAUAUUAUUAAUUUGGAACUUCUUAUUAUUUCUCUAAUACUCUCAUGCCAUGAAAGGUCUCUUAAAGCAAGGAGAAAGAAGCUGUUUAAAAUUCAAUAGGAUCCACGUUCAACUGUACUUCCAACUUGGGUG